UGAAGAGGGAGGACCAGGUGCAUUGUUGGCUGACUGAAUGAGCAGCAGGCCCGUGGACAGGGCCAAGGAACCCUACCAACAUCGCCUCCUGCUCCUGCAGCACCUGGCUUUCUCUUGAGGCCUCCCAUCCAACGCCUGACUCCACUCAGCUCGUGAAUGCUGACAAGUUCACACCUGGAGGUUACAGAGCUGCAGCGUCCCCUGCCUCUGGGACAGAAAGGGAGAUUCCAUGAAGAGGAAACAUACACGCUACCAUUAUAGACUAUGCUAUUAUAGACUAUGCUAUAGAUACAGGGUCAGAUCCAUCCCUGGUGUAACUCCAUUGAAG